rnacentral:pre_miRNA from 1 species
GCUCCAUAAUCGUCUAGUGAUCGAUAAGAAAUUACCUAUAUUCAUUUAAAAAGUUAAUUGCUUUGAAUGUAGAAGAUGGAAAGAAUUUCUUAUCGAUCACUAGACGAUUAUGGCGA